UCUCCGCGCCCCCGCGAGCCGCCAGGCUGCAGGCAGGGUGGGCCGAUGCUCCUGAUCCACCUGGAGCACUUUCGCAAAGACAAACGCGGUUCCUCCUACUUCUGAGCAAGUCUGGGCCAGCUGGGAUCCGACCAGAAACCGCAAGCAGAGGAGACGCAGGCACACAAGCUGAGCGCUAACGGAAGGCGCGACCUGAGCCCCGCGCCUGCUGGGGAGCUGCGCAGCCAGGACAGCAGUCGGCGGCGCAGGGCCGGCCGUCGCCCCGUCACGUCCGAGGCUAGCAAGGCUGCCCGCCAGCCCCGCCGCCCGCCUUCGGACUUCCCGGGGCGCCCAGGGCCCUCCCAACGCGCCUGCACCCACACCCGCCCCUGACCCACAGUGACCCUGCAUUCCCCGCCCCCCGCCACACCUCCUGCGUGCCGGAAUGUCGCCCUUAAACGCUGCUCUACACCCAGAGAGGGACGAAUCCACCUUUGAAGGCAGGGCAGGACUAAUUUCAAUGGGUCAGCAGGUUCUUGAAGGCACUGUUUUAUUUAAGAGUGUCUAUUUACUGGCAGGAGUAUUUGUGUGGGAGGAAGUAGGUUAAGACUGCUGUUGAACUUGAAGCUAAACUUGAAUGCCAUUUAAAAUAACAAUAAAAAUAUACUUAAAACACCAA